UACGUAGGGGGCAAGCGUUGUCCGGAUUUAUUGGGCGUAAAGAGCGUGUAGGCGGCCAUGUAGGUCCGUUGUGAAAACUCGAGGCUCAACCUCGAGACGCCGAUGGAAACCAUGUGGCUAGAGUCCGGAAGAGGAGAGUGGAAUUCCUGGUGUAGCGGUGAAAUGCGCAGAUAUCAGGAAGAACACCCGUGGCGAAGGCGGCUCUCUGGGACGGUACUGACGCUGAGACGCGAAAGCGUGGGAGCGAACAGG
rnacentral:rRNA from 1 species